CCCCCACACCUUUCUCUCCCACGUUGUUGUGCGGGCACGAGUCGAUGGCUCUAGCUCUGGGAAGGUUCCAGAAUGGAACGGAGCUUAAGUAGAAAUCGAGGGUGGCGGCGUGGAAGGGUGAAUGGGGGAUUUUUGUCACUGUUCGUUAGCUCUAAAUUGUUAAGUUUCGUGCUUCUCCGAAGUAAGAUGUGAGUGGACGGAGUGUGUGCAGACGUGUUGCAUCAGCCUGCAAGGUCGGGGAAAGGUUUGGUAAUGUUAAAGCAGAUGUUUUGGAGAAAAAUGAAACAAAUGAUUGUGAGAGAAACCAGAGGUACAAGAAACCAGCCUGUGCCAGUCUUCAAGGCCAUGAAGCUUGAGAACGGAAUAUGGAUUGCUCCAAACGUCCGAGAGGUUCUCAAAACACCUCUGCGGUUCACCAUUGGCUGAAGACGAACUGGUCAGGGGGGAGGGCCAGGGCAAAAGGGAAAAAGUUUGUAACCUUUUGCAUGGGAACUUUAGUUCUAGCCUGCCUUUACUGCAGCCAGCAAUCUUUAGUAAAAGAACCUAUCAGUUCAACAAAA